rnacentral:ncRNA from 1 species
AUAUUCCGACAGGGGAGCGCCACAGCGCUGAGAGUGCGGCACGGGCCGCAGACCCUCUGAACCUCGUCCAGGUCAUUCUGGAUAGGGAGAUCGGUCAUCACUCGAG